rnacentral:rRNA from 1 species
CAGCGCCACGAGUGGGGACCACAUUUAUUGGGCCUAAAGCGUCCGUAGCCUGUUUAGUAAAUCUUCUGCGAAAUCAUUGGGCUUAACUCAAUGUCGUGCAAAAGACACUGCUAAACUUGGAACCGGGAGGAGUCAGAGGUAUUCUGGGGGGCGCGGUAAAAUGCGAUAAUCCUCAGAGGACCGCCUGUGGCGAAGGCGUCUGACUAGAACGGGUUCGACGGUGAGGGACGAAAGCUAGGGGAGCAAACCGGAUUAGAUACCCGAGUAGUCC